CCAGUUAUUGGGCCGGUUUCUCUUUUUUUUCUCCCCCGCAGGCCUAAACCUCCCACCCGUGAAUACCUGACCAACGUUGCUUCGGCGGUGCGCCCCUCCGGGGGUAGCCGCCGGAGACCACAUUGAACCUCUUGUCUUUAGUGUUGUCUGAGCUUGAUAGCAAACCUAUUAAAACUUUCAACAAUGGAUCUCUUGGUUCCGGCAUCGAUGAAGAACGCAGCGAACUGCGAUAAGUAAUGUGAAUUGCAGAAUUCAGUGAAUCAUCGAGUCUUUGAACGCACAUUGCGCCCCCUGGCAUUCCGGGGGGCAUGCCUGUCCGAGCGUCAUUGCUGCCCUUCAAGCCCGGCUUGUGUGUUGGGUCGUCGUCCCCUCCGGGGGACGGGCCCGAAAGGCAGCGGCGGCACCGCGUCCGGUCCUCGAGCGUAUGGGGCUUUGUCACCCGCUCGAUUAGGRCCGGCCGGGCGCCAGCCGGCGUCUCCAACCUUUUAUUUACCAGGUUGACUCGAUGAGUAGCAUCCUUUUAAAUAUUUCUAUCUCCAG
rnacentral:rRNA from 2 species